CUGCAAAGUUCGACACUGUUAUUAAUUUGCAAAACAUUUCACCGAAGGCAGUUUUCAAAACCUUGUACAGUUAAGCAGGAUUUGCUAAGCUGCUGUUACUGAAACGAGGGGCUGUUCCGACCGUAAGGUCAUCACAACCGCAUGCUGUUUUAUCUAGCAGCCAUGCACUUCAAUGACAAUGCUGAGUCCCCACAACAGAAGACAGCCAAGGAGAAACUAUGUACAGACUUGCCAAACAAUUUAUCAUCAAAGACCCUCUUCCUUAUUGGGAUGCCGUCCAGCGGAUUCCUGUGCCCCAGGACUUGUGUGCUCAGCUAGACAGACCUUCCAUGG